ensembl:snoRNA SNORA72 Small nucleolar RNA SNORA72
UUGCAAAUAUUCGUGCUGUUCUGAUUUUGUAAUAAUCAGGGCAGGCUAAACAUUCACUAUAUUAAGACCAUGCAUGUCCCCAGACCUAGUUCUUUGCCUAGGUCUGGUUUUCUCAGUUGUGGUGGGAAAC